rnacentral:lncRNA from 1 species
UAUGUACAUAAGAUUGAACAAGUGAACUAAUACCAAUUCAUUCAUUAAAAUGAAAGACAAAUAUGAAAAAGCUAACUAGAUAUGAAAAAAGAAGAGAAUGGUUAAAUCAUAAGAUCAAUUUUUAUAUAAAUAUUCAAAUCAUAAGAUCAAUUUUUAUAUAAAUAUUCACAUCAACGCAUUGUUUCCCUUCUUUCCAUUGGUUGAUAUAAUCUCUUGCUUGAUUUUUUUCCAGGUUUUAUUGCCUUCCUUUAUCUAAAUUUACAAUGGAGUUUGGUAUUUUUGUUUAUACAUUUUAAAAAUAUUUUAUUAUUUUUUUCUACAUUUCACUUUUCUGUCUUGUGCCAAAAAAAUAAAGAGAAAUAAUGUUUCAUGCAUACACUCAACUGAUGUAAAAAUUCUAUUAAUCUGAUAUCAAAUUUCUUAUCAAUU